GGAGGCUCGGACUUCCCCGGCCUCGAUCUCCCGCAGCCGGGUCAGCACCAAGCGAGCGAAGGCCCCAGCGGGGAGAUGCGGGACUCCCGGACUGCAGCGUCUCCCACGAGCACGAGGUGGCCAGAGGAGAGCCGCCGAUCCGCUCACCACAAGCUCUUUUCUGCGCCUUCCUCUUUCUGGCUGUUGCUGUCGCCGGUGUCUCUGUUCUCCCCCCUUGAGUUUGAGCGCGAGCGAGACUUCGGCCUUUGCGGGCCACAGCUUCAGGACCCGGCCGCAGCCCUCAGGUGCAUCUGGAGUUGAAUGCACAGCCCCUGGAGAGAGAGAGUUCCCUGUGGCUGGAGGUGUUUCAGCAGUCUCUUGGUAGUGGCUUUGAGUGACUCUGUGCCCCAGCCGAGGAGUGGAUCUGCAAGGUCCUUGAAGUUCCUUCCAAACCUGAGAUGCUGCAGUUGACGCUUUGCAAGGGAGUCUGAGCGGGGCCAUGCUGAAGCAUUUACAGCAACAAAGAUACCUGCUAUGGAAGAUACAACACCUGGCCCCAAACAGGAGGUGAGGGAAUGGAGAGAGCAAGAGACUUGCCCAAGGUCACACAACUGGAUCUGAGCUCAGAAUGGAGGCACACCUAUGUUCUCUCCCCCGUAGCAGCUGGAGGAAAGCGUGAGCUAUGGAUCCAAGGUACCAACCCCAGGCAGGCUCAGGAAACAGCACGUGGGGAACAUUCUCAGACUUG